UUCCUAAUGUAAAAAAUAUUAGGUAUGCCCUGCCCAAUGAAUCUUUAAAUGGCCGCAAAAGUGCUAAGGUAGCAAAAUCAAUUGCCACUUAAUUAGUGGCUAGUAUGAAUGGGUUCACAAAAAGACCCCUGUCUCUCCCCCACAUCUAAAAACUAACCUUCAAGUGAAAAGGCUUGAAUUAUAAUAAAAGACAAAAAGACCCUGUCGCGCUUAAGAGAAAAAGUAUUUUGACAUUACAAUAUCUCUUUAGUUGGGGCGACUUCUGAUAUAAAAUAACACCAGACCAUAUUAUAGAGGAAAAUCUCAUUUUUUUGACCCUCAUAAGAUCAAAUAAUUAGCAACCGCAGGGAUAACAGGCUAAUUUUCUUACUAGAGCCCAUAUCGACUAAGAAGUUUGGCACCUCGAUGUUGGCUUAGGGAAACAGCUCAGAUGCAGCAAUCUAGCUUGAAGGUUUGUUCAACCUAUAAAUCCCU
rnacentral:rRNA from 1 species